rnacentral:rRNA from 1 species
AGAGUUUGAUCCUGGCUCAGAUUGAACGCUGGCGGCAGGCUUAACACAUGCAAGUCGAACGGUAGCAGGAAGAAAGCUUGCUUUCUUUGCUGACGAGUGGCGGACGGGUGAGUAAUGCUUGGGAAUCUGGCUUAUGGGGGGGGAUAACUGUGGGAAACUGCAGCUAAUACCGCGUAUUCUCUGAGGAGGAAAGGGUGGGACCUUAGGGCCACCUGCCAUAAGAUGAGCCCAAGUGGGAUUAGGUAGUUGGUGGGGUAAAGGCCUACCAAGCCUGCGAUCUCUAGCUGGUCUGAGAGGAUGACCAGCCACACUGGAACUGAGACACGGUCCAGACUCCUACGGGAGGCAGCAGUGGGGAAUAUUGCGCAAUGGGGGGAACCCUGACGCAGCCAUGCCGCGUGAAUGAAGAAGGCCUUCGGGUUGUAAAGUUCUUUCGGUAAUGAGGAAGGGAUGUUGUUAAAUAGAUAGCAUCAUUGACGUUAAUUACAGAAGAAGCACCGGCUAACUCCGUGCAGCAGCCGCGGUAAUACGGAGGGUGCGAGCGUUAAUCGGAAUAACUGGGCGUAAAGGGCACGCAGGCGGACUUUUAAGUGAGAUGUGAAAUCCCCGAGCUUAACUUGGGAACUGCAUUUCAGACUGGGAGUCUAGAGUACUUUAGGGAGGGGUAGAAUUCCACGUGUAGCGGUGAAAUGCGUAGAGAUGUGGAGGAAUACCGAAGGCGAAGGCAGCCCCUUGGGAAUGUACUGACGCUCAUGUGCGAAAGCGUGGGGAGCAAACAGGAUUAGAUACCCUGGUAGUCCACGCUGUAAACGCUGUCGAUUUGGGGAUUGGGCUAUAUGCUUGGUGCCCGAAGCUAACGUGAUAAAUCGACCGCCUGGGGAGUACGGCCGCAAGGUUAAAACUCAAAGGAAUUGACGG